UUUUUUCUUCACAUUCUGUCUCUCACAGUUGACGUGUACCUCUGGUGCAAAUUACUGACCUCUGUCAUCAUUUUGAGGGGGGAACUUGCACAAUCGGUGGCUGACUAAAUACUUUUUUGCCCCACUGUAUGUCUUGUUCUACCGAGAUGAUCUCCCACAUAGAAAAUUCCAGGAUUUUAAGGAUCAAGUGAAACUGAGAAAUCCACAGAUGAAAAAUAUGAGUGUUGUAUUAUCGUGGAAGACACAGGAGACAGAAGGUCUGACAGAAAGAUUCGGAGAUGGAGGGAAGAAGGAAGAGGCUGGAUACAAUGUCGGACAGAAUGGACUGCUGAUAUCUCUGGGAUUUUCUGCAGUUGGAUUAAUUGUUCUUGUUAUUACUCUUCUGAUGCCUAAAAAACAGGAACAUCAUCCCAGCUUAUCCUAGUGAAGAAGAUGACAACCAGGUUGUCUUGAAGUAAUCACCUGGUCAACCAGGAGCACUUAGAGAUGAUUCAAAGAAACAGGAAGAAGCUGGACUCAGUGUUUUAUCUGUUGGUUUCCCAAUUCUCCAUAUAUAUGGCGUCGGGUUGCAAAUUGUGAAGCCAACAUGAUAACCGUAUCCAGCCAGUGAUGUGGAGAUACACGUUUUAGAUCCACUUAAAAUCAAAUCACUCAAAAAGAUCCUCUGGAAAAGAGUAGAAUUCUUGAAACAGAGUUUAUUAAACAGAGUCAUAUAAACAGCCAAACAGUUCAUCACAAUACACAGAACAGCAACACAGCAUGUAGCACAGUAGGCAAACCAAAUCCUGUGGGGUGACGUGAGGAGGGCUGUGCACAAGAGACGUCCUCGGAAUCUAAUGUAUUUGGAGUGCUUUUGCAAGGAAGUGUGGACAAAUAUGGCAAACGUAAGAUGUGCCAUGAAAUACUGUGAUUAACUAAAACAUAUUUGUUUCUUUUUCAUCUUUGUUACCAAGGUCUGCACCAAUAAAGUGACCCUAUCUCUCAACUGCCACCUUAAUGUGGUGGAGGGAUUUGUGAACUCAGAUGUUGCUGGGAGCUGAGCUAUCUGGAGGCUUCAGCUCCUGGUAGGUUCUCCUGAGACAAACUGGUCUCAGGUGGUGAACUAGACUAAGAGCAGUUCACAUGAACUGUAUUUACUAUUCACACACUGCUAAACACACUGCUGCUAUUCUUUUGCUCUUGAAUGAAUUGAAAAACAUGCUUCAGGAAAUAAUUGUUUUGAUAAUAGUUCAUCUUUGAUUUAGUAAAAAGAUUAAAGUGAAAAGUGUUU
ensembl:lncRNA